CCUACGGGUGGCAGCAGUGAGGAAUAUUGGUCAAUGGGCGGGAGCCUGAACCAGCCAAGUCGCGUGAGGGAAGACGGUCCUACGGAUUGUAAACCUCUUUUGCCGGGGAGCAACGGGGUCCUUGCGAGGGCACAAUGAGAGUACCCGGAGAAAAAGCAUCGGCUAACUCCGUGCCAGCAGCCGCGGUAAUACGGAGGAUGCGAGCGUUAUCCGGAUUGAGUGGGUUUAAAGGGUGCGCAGGCGGCGGGUUAAGUCAUCGUUAACAUUUCGGGGCUCAACCCCGACAAGCCGUUGAAACUGGCUUGCUAGAGUGGGCGAGAAGUAUGCGGAAUGCGUGGUGUAGCGGUGAAAUGCAUAGAUAUCACGCAGAACUCCGAUUGCGAAGGCAGCAUACCGGCGCCCAACUGACGCUCAGGCACGAAAGCGUGGGUAUCGAACAGGAUUAGAUACCCUUGUAGUC
rnacentral:rRNA from 1 species